UUACUUCUUACUCGAAAAGCUUAUAGUGAAUGAUUCUUUGCUUCUAUUGAAUUUUGC
rnacentral:sRNA from 1 species